rnacentral:rRNA from 1 species
GUGGGGAAUAUUGGACAAUGGGCGCAAGCCUGAUCCAGCAAUGCCGCGUGGGUGAAGAAGGUCUUCGGAUUGUAAAUCCCUUUCGGCGGGGACGAUGAUGACGGUACCCGCAGAAGAAGCCCCGGCUAACUUCGUGCCAGCAGCCGCGGUAAUACGAAGGGGGCUAGCGUUGCUCGGAAUGACUGGGCGUAAAGGGCGCGUAGGCGGUUCGUACAGUUGGAUGUGAAAUUCCUGGGCUUAACCUGGGGGCUGCAUUCAAUACGUGCGGGCUAGAAUGUGGAAGAGGGUUGUGGAAUUCCCAGUGUAGAGGUGAAAUUCGUAGAUAUUGGGAAGAACACCGGUGGCGAAGGCGGCAACCUGGUCCAUAAUUGACGCUGAGGCGCGAAAGCGUGGGGAGCAAACAGG